rnacentral:lncRNA from 1 species
ACAUUACUUCCAAAUGGAACACCUCACUUCUGUCCCAACGUCAAGUUACAUGGGUGCUGUUGGCAAUCCAUAUAAAAUGAUUGAUUAUUUUCUAGGUCAUGCAGCAAAACAGUUUGUAGACAAGCACGUCUUACCGGAGGUUCCUCAACAGCCAGGUCAUGGUCUCCAAAUCAAACACACUAGCCUGCAGGUACUGUGGAAAACUGUACCAGAGACCAAAAGCUCUCCGCAAACACGAAGCAUCCGGAAUAUAAUGCUGAAAACAAUCAGGAUUCCACAUCUUCAGCAGAAUCAAGAUCAUCUAUUUAUCAGUACACCCGUCUGUCUCUCAUGCUUGGGCUUCUUCGAAUAAAUCACAACGAUUCCAUUCACAUGGGAGAUGGUGGCAGGCAUGAUGAGACUAGUAAAGUGGUUCUGUUUAUACUACAAGGCAAGCAAAUGUCCAAAGUAUGCAUAUGGUCUCCUUUGAAACACAGGCAAAGGCAUAUGCUCUCCUAUAUGAACGGCAGGCUUUAUAGAUUGAUAUGGAACCGCACAGUCAACCAUCAAGGCAGAGAAGACACCAAUCAUCCCAUCGACCUUGACUUGGAGCAUUGCAACAGGGCUUUCAAAGAUGAUGUACACACCACAUACAAGGGGAGGUACACAGAUAAAAGACGAUUCUCAAAGUCAGCAGAAGUGCGCUGUCAAUGGAAGAAUUAUGCCAAAAAUACGACAAAUUGGCAUUCCGCAAGAAAUGUUCGGGAAGGCAUGGAGUUGUUGAUCCUUCUUGGUGAUAUUCUUAAACUUGUAGAACAAUUCCAUUCCUAUGCAGCUCUAUUCAAUGAGGCCAACAAGCCACUGCCACAGAGAAAUCAAAAACAUGCUGAGUGACAUCCAAAAUUGGAUUUCAGAAAGUCUUAAAGUCUUCAGUAGCCGCACAUACUAUAACAUCUGAACCUUUUUUCCCGAUGUGUAAUUCAGUGUCACAUGAUUAAAACGAGACCCUGUUGCAAAGUCGCUAUCACUGUAUGUUUCAUGAUCUUCAUGUUCUGAGUCUGAGUGAGAUGAUGAGCUAUCACUCGAGUCAAGGGAAGUUUUGUACAACUCAAGAAUAUCACAUCUACAUUCACUACAUGGGGUAAUUGCAUGUCCAUGAGUCUCUGCAGUCACAGAGACACUUGCAAGAUAUGGCACAGUUGUCCAUAGCACUCAUGACUUCAGUAAAGCUCAACUCGUCGACAUACGUUGGUUCUGACAUACUGUUUCAUUUCAUCCGAAAUAUUCCGCCUGCCACUGAGACAUCGUCUAAAUUUCAUGAGAAGAGCAUGUGCCUGCUUUUCUGGAUCCCUGCCUGCUCCGUCCUUGUCUCUUGAAUAUAAUCCUCAACAUUAUUGGCUGGACCAUAGUGGAUGACGGUUUCCACACUUUCUUAGCAUUGUGUAUACACAACGUAAUUAACGGAUUCUGACAUCAGCCACAUAUCUCGGACCACCCCACGAGUCUCUCUUAACCGUUCAAUUAACGUUCCGCUUGGUGUUGCCACACCUGUCCGCCAUCUGCUGUUGAGAUACUGUAACGGUUCUCGUCUGAAAAGAGGACUUCUCCCACUGCUGGUGCUGUGCUACCCACUGAAGACGGUCCAGGAAACAAAGAAGAAGACUGAAAGGAUACCACUGGGAGUGCUUCAGUGAGGACCUCAGUGACCGUUCUCCAUCACAGUAGGUGCUCAGCGGAGGGGACUACCUCACCCUUGAGAGGCAGAAACAAGCCAAUCAUGCACUUACGAGAUGGACCUACACCAAGUUCCAGAUUACAAGGACUUGUUCCAAAGAUGGAAGAGUUCCAUAACGAAGCUGAAUUUCUAAAGGUUAUAUGGAAACACUUGUACUCGUCCUCCUCUAACAAGUCUGUUUGGCACUCUGCAUGCUGCAAAGGAGCACAAUAAAUGCGGUGAAUGUUACUCAGGAUCCUCAUGACAACUUUUACCCAUGCUCUGAAUUCAUGGACAAGGUCACCACCGCCUACAUCGUAACUCGGGGACUACAUUACUUCCAAAUGGAACACCUCACUUCUGUCCCAACGUCAAGUUACAUGGGUGCUGUUGGCAAUCCAUAUAAAAUGAUUGAUUAUUUUCUAGGUCAUGCAGCAAAACAGUUUGUAGACAAGCACGUCUUACCGGAGGUUCCUCAACAGCCAGGUCAUGGUCUCCAAAUCAAACACACUAGCCUGCAGGUACUGUGGAAAACUGUACCAGAGACCAAAAGCUCUCCGCAAACACGAAGCAUCCGGAAUAUAAUGCUGAAAACAAUCAGGAUUCCACAUCUUCAGCAGAAUCAAGAUCAUCUAUUUAUCAGUACACCCGUCUGUCUCUCAUGCUUGGGCUUCUUCGAAUAAAUCACAACGAUUCCAUUCACAUGGGAGAUGGUGGCAGGCAUGAUGAGACUAGUAAAGUGGUUCUGUUUAUACUACAAGGCAAGCAAAUGUCCAAAGUAUGCAUAUGGUCUCCUUUGAAACACAGGCAAAGGCAUAUGCUCUCCUAUAUGAACGGCAGGCUUUAUAGAUUGAUAUGGAACCGCACAGUCAACCAUCAAGGCAGAGAAGACACCAAUCAUCCCAUCGACCUUGACUUGGAGCAUUGCAACAGGGCUUUCAAAGAUGAUGUACACACCACAUACAAGGGGAGGUACACAGAUAAAAGACGAUUCUCAAAGUCAGCAGAAGUGCGCUGUCAAUGGAAGAAUUAUGCCAAAAAUACGACAAAUUGGCAUUCCGCAAGAAAUGUUCGGGAAGGCAUGGAGUUGUUGAUCCUUCUUGGUGAUAUUCUUAAACUUGUAGAACAAUUCCAUUCCUAUGCAGCUCUAUUCAAUGAGGCCAACAAGCCACUGCCACAGAGAAAUCAAAAACAUGCUGAGUGACAUCCAAAAUUGGAUUUCAGAAAGUCUUAAAGUCUUCAGUAGCCGCACAUACUAUAACAUCUGAACCUUUUUUCCCGAUGUGUAAUUCAGUGUCACAUGAUUAAAACGAGACCCUGUUGCAAAGUCGCUAUCACUGUAUGUUUCAUGAUCUUCAUGUUCUGAGUCUGAGUGAGAUGAUGAGCUAUCACUCGAGUCAAGGGAAGUUUUGUACAACUCAAGAAUAUCACAUCUACAUUCACUACAUGGGGUAAUUGCAUGUCCAUGAGUCUCUGCAGUCACAGAGACACUUGCAAGAUAUGGCACAGUUGUCCAUAGCACUCAUGACUUCAGUAAAGCUCAACUCGUCGACAUACGUUGGUUCUGACAUACUGUUUCAUUUCAUCCGAAAUAUUCCGCCUGCCACUGAGACAUUGUCUAAAUUUCAUGAGAAGAGCAUGUGCCUGCUUUUCUGGAUCCCUGCCUGCUCCGUCCUUGUCUCUUGAAUAUAAUCCUCAACAUUAUUGGCUGGACCAUAGUGGAUGACGGUUUCCACACUUUCUUAGCAUUGUGUAUACACAACGUAAUUAACGGAUUCUGACAUCAGCCACAUAUCUCGGACCACCCCACGAGUCUCUCUUAACCGUUCAAUUAACGUUCCGCUUGGUGUUGCCACACCUGUCCGCCAUCUGCUGUUGAGAUACUGUAACGGUUCUCGUCUGAAAAGAGGACUUCUCCCACUGCUGGUGCUGUGCUACCCACUGAAGACGGUCCAGGAAACAAAGAAGAAGACUGAAAGGAUACCACUGGGAGUGCUUCAGUGAGGACCUCAGUGACCGUUCUCCAUCACAGUAGGUGCUCAGCGGAGGGGACUACCUCACCCUUGAGAGGCAGAAACAAGCCAAUCAUGCACUUACGAGAUGGACCUACACCAAGUUCCAGAUUACAAGGACUUGUUCCAAAGAUGGAAGAGUUCCAUAACGAAGCUGAAUUUCUAAAGGUUAUAUGGAAACACUUGUACUCGUCCUCCUCUAACAAGUCUGUUUGGCACUCUGCAUGCUGCAAAGGAGCACAAUAAAUGCGGUGAAUGUUACUCAGGAUCCUCAUGACAACUUUUACCCAUGCUCUGAAUUCAUGGACAAGGUCACCACCGCCUACAUCGUAACUCGGGGACUACAUUACUUCCAAAUGGAACACCUCACUUCUGUCCCAACGUCAAGUUACAUGGGUGCUGUUGGCAAUCCAUAUAAAAUGAUUGAUUAUUUUCUAGGUCAUGCAGCAAAACAGUUUGUAGACAAGCACGUCUUACCGGAGGUUCCUCAACAGCCAGGUCAUGGUCUCCAAAUCAAACACACUAGCCUGCAGGUACUGUGGAAAACUGUACCAGAGACCAAAAGCUCUCCGCAAACACGAAGCAUCCGGAAUAUAAUGCUGAAAACAAUCAGGAUUCCACAUCUUCAGCAGAAUCAAGAUCAUCUAUUUAUCAGUACACCCGUCUGUCUCUCAUGCUUGGGCUUCUUCGAAUAAAUCACAACGAUUCCAUUCACAUGGGAGAUGGUGGCAGGCAUGAUGAGACUAGUAAAGUGGUUCUGUUUAUACUACAAGGCAAGCAAAUGUCCAAAGUAUGCAUAUGGUCUCCUUUGAAACACAGGCAAAGGCAUAUGCUCUCCUAUAUGAACGGCAGGCUUUAUAGAUUGAUAUGGAACCGCACAGUCAACCAUCAAGGCAGAGAAGACACCAAUCAUCCCAUCGACCUUGACUUGGAGCAUUGCAACAGGGCUUUCAAAGAUGAUGUACACACCACAUACAAGGGGAGGUACACAGAUAAAAGACGAUUCUCAAAGUCAGCAGAAGUGCGCUGUCAAUGGAAGAAUUAUGCCAAAAAUACGACAAAUUGGCAUUCCGCAAGAAAUGUUCGGGAAGGCAUGGAGUUGUUGAUCCUUCUUGGUGAUAUUCUUAAACUUGUAGAACAAUUCCAUUCCUAUGCAGCUCUAUUCAAUGAGGCCAACAAGCCACUGCCACAGAGAAAUCAAAAACAUGCUGAGUGACAUCCAAAAUUGGAUUUCAGAAAGUCUUAAAGUCUUCAGUAGCCGCACAUACUAUAACAUCUGAACCUUUUUUCCCGAUGUGUAAUUCAGUGUCACAUGAUUAAAACGAGACCCUGUUGCAAAGUCGCUAUCACUGUAUGUUUCAUGAUCUUCAUGUUCUGAGUCUGAGUGAGAUGAUGAGCUAUCACUCGAGUCAAGGGAAGUUUUGUACAACUCAAGAAUAUCACAUCUACAUUCACUACAUGGGGUAAUUGCAUGUCCAUGAGUCUCUGCAGUCACAGAGACACUUGCAAGAUAUGGCACAGUUGUCCAUAGCACUCAUGACUUCAGUAAAGCUCAACUCGUCGACAUACGUUGGUUCUGACAUACUGUUUCAUUUCAUCCGAAAUAUUCCGCCUGCCACUGAGACAUCGUCUAAAUUUCAUGAGAAGAGCAUGUGCCUGCUUUUCUGGAUCCCUGCCUGCUCCGUCCUUGUCUCUUGAAUAUAAUCCUCAACAUUAUUGGCUGGACCAUAGUGGAUGACGGUUUCCACACUUUCUUAGCAUUGUGUAUACACAACGUAAUUAACGGAUUCUGACAUCAGCCACAUAUCUCGGACCACCCCACGAGUCUCUCUUAACCGUUCAAUUAACGUUCCGCUUGGUGUUGCCACACCUGUCCGCCAUCUGCUGUUGAGAUACUGUAACGGUUCUCGUCUGAAAAGAGGACUUCUCCCACUGCUGGUGCUGUGCUACCCACUGAAGACGGUCCAGGAAACAAAGAAGAAGACUGAAAGGAUACCACUGGGAGUGCUUCAGUGAGGACCUCAGUGACCGUUCUCCAUCACAGUAGGUGCUCAGCGGAGGGGACUACCUCACCCUUGAGAGGCAGAAACAAGCCAAUCAUGCACUUACGAGAUGGACCUACACCAAGUUCCAGAUUACAAGGACUUGUUCCAAAGAUGGAAGAGUUCCAUAACGAAGCUGAAUUUCUAAAGGUUAUAUGGAAACACUUGUACUCGUCCUCCUCUAACAAGUCUGUUUGGCACUCUGCAUGCUGCAAAGGAGCACAAUAAAUGCGGUGAAUGUUACUCAGGAUCCUCAUGACAACUUUUACCCAUGCUCUGAAUUCAUGGACAAGGUCACCACCGCCUACAUCGUAACUGGGGGACUACAUUACUUCCAAAUGGAACACCUCACUUCUGUCCCAACGUCAAGUUACAUGGGUGCUGUUGGCAAUCCAUAUAAAAUGAUUGAUUAUUUUCUAGGUCAUGCAGCAAAACAGUUUGUAGACAAGCACGUCUUACCGGAGGUUCCUCAACAGCCAGGUCAUGGUCUCCAAAUCAAACACACUAGCCUGCAGGUACUGUGGAAAACUGUACCAGAGACCAAAAGCUCUCCGCAAACACGAAGCAUCCGGAAUAUAAUGCUGAAAACAAUCAGGAUUCCACAUCUUCAGCAGAAUCAAGAUCAUCUAUUUAUCAGUACACCCGUCUGUCUCUCAUGCUUGGGCUUCUUCGAAUAAAUCACAACGAUUCCAUUCACAUGGGAGAUGGUGGCAGGCAUGAUGAGACUAGUAAAGUGGUUCUGUUUAUACUACAAGGCAAGCAAAUGUCCAAAGUAUGCAUAUGGUCUCCUUUGAAACACAGGCAAAGGCAUAUGCUCUCCUAUAUGAACGGCAGGCUUUAUAGAUUGAUAUGGAACCGCACAGUCAACCAUCAAGGCAGAGAAGACACCAAUCAUCCCAUCGACCUUGACUUGGAGCAUUGCAACAGGGCUUUCAAAGAUGAUGUACACACAUACAAGGGGAGGUACACAGAUAAAAGACGAUUCUCAAAGUCAGCAGAAGUGCGCUGUCAAUGGAAGAAUUAUGCCAAAAAUACGACAAAUUGGCAUUCCGCAAGAAAUGUUCGGGAAGGCAUGGAGUUGUUGAUCCUUCUUGGUGAUAUUCUUAAACUUGUAGAACAAUUCCAUUCCUAUGCAGCUCUAUUCAAUGAGGCCAACAAGCCACUGCCACAGAGAAAUCAAAAACAUGCUGAGUGACAUCCAAAAUUGGAUUUCAGAAAGUCUUAAAGUCUUCAGUAGCCGCACAUACUAUAACAUCUGAACCUUUUUUCCCGAUGUGUAAUUCAGUGUCACAUGAUUAAAACGAGACCCUGUUGCAAAGUCGCUAUCACUGUAUGUUUCAUGAUCUUCAUGUUCUGAGUCUGAGUGAGAUGAUGAGCUAUCACUCGAGUCAAGGGAAGUUUUGUACAACUCAAGAAUAUCACAUCUACAUUCACUACAUGGGGUAAUUGCAUGUCCAUGAGUCUCUGCAGUCACAGAGACACUUGCAAGAUAUGGCACAGUUGUCCAUAGCACUCAUGACUUCAGUAAAGCUCAACUCGUCGACAUACGUUGGUUCUGACAUACUGUUUCAUUUCAUCCGAAAUAUUCCGCCUGCCACUGAGACAUCGUCUAAAUUUCAUGAGAAGAGCAUGUGCCUGCUUUUCUGGAUCCCUGCCUGCUCCGUCCUUGUCUCUUGAAUAUAAUCCUCAACAUUAUUGGCUGGACCAUAGUGGAUGACGGUUUCCACACUUUGUAAGUCCCAAGCUGAAUGGUGUUGAGCAAUGGACUAUCAAGGGACUAUCAUCCUCUUGAAACCAUUUGGAUCCAUGAAGGACUCUGACACACUUCCCUGUUUUCCUUCUCAUUCAUACAUAUUCUGUAUGUUGUUAUGCAUGAUUGAUGUUGAACUUUAAUUGAAACUUUAGCUUGAAAAUUGGCCGAUUUCUUUUAUGAAAUUUAACUCCUAUUAUAAGAAUAAGAUCAACAUAUGCAAAAACAAUUGUUGUUAGAUGAUUAUUUUUUUGUAACCGAUCAACAAGAUCAACUUUAGUGUUUUAGUGUUUUAACUUAGCUAAUGUAAUGUAAUACAGUGGAUGUAUGCAUUCCUUUUUCAUAAGGGCAUUAACAUAUAUUACAUAAUGCCUCUACCUGGGACUGCGGCCAAACUUACAAAAUUAACCCUUGUUUGAGAGUAACAAGUAUCAAGUUCAUGAUGAUUGUAGAAGUGAUUGUAUGUAUUCAUAAAUGUGACACAUGCACAUUUUGAAAUGUUAAUAUUUGUGCUUUAACUUUGAUUUGAUGAAUAUCAAAUUAGAUAUUGUAUACACUUUAUAGCUACUUGUGAUCAGUGCACAUUUUUAUACCUUUAGAUUGUGCAGUUUCAUAGUGGUUAGUAAGAAUAUUUUGUGAAUUUAUACUUGUUUUAUCACAAAACAUGUGAAUGAGUGAAUGUCGUCUCAUACUGCAGUCAGCAAUAUUGCAGCCAUAUGAAGGCAGCCUGUAAACCAGUAAUUGAUACGCACACCAUCCUAGUACAUAAAACAUUCGCUCUCCAUGCCUAUUUAUGGUGUCCCCGUCGUGAUUUUGCUGGGAUAUUGCCAAAAGAUGCGUAAAUCCAUGCUCUCUCAAUUCAACAUGCCAUGCCUUGACAGACAAAACGAAAUACAAAAUAUAACAUUUAUACUUACAAUUUUGCAAUGCAGUGUGCUUCAUCAAUGAAAAUUGCCAUCAAAAUCUUCUCUUUAGUCAGGCUGUGUUCCAAGAACUGUCUCUGGACUUGCAAAUAUUAUUAUGUCAGUGUCAGGGUGAAAAAACCGUCACAGUAGCAUGGUUGGAGUUAUUAAGUUUCUUAAACACGAAUGGUGCUAAUUCAAAAGUAAGUGAUUUUCCUGAUCCUGUUGGAGAAAAAAAAGGACAUCCUUUCCUCUGAGGUAACUUACAAUCACUUGUCUUUGAUGAUUCCUGAAGUGAUCAAUUAUGUAACUGCAUUACCUUCCAUACCAACAGUUAUACAUGUAGUUAAGUUAAAUAGAGGGCGUAUAUACUUAAAACACAACAUCAAUCCUUUGUUCCGUUCAGCAGUGUGUCAGAUUCGUGAUGGCUAGCUUGAGGUGGCUAGACUUGCUUUUUGUAUGCAUUACUAGAUUAUUUUUUUAAAUGAAAUAAAUAUAUUCCACGGUCA